ACCAAAGGGAGUAGUGCUUUGGAGACACAAAGAGCUGCCCAGGCGCUCUCCUCACUCCCUUUCUCCCCUGGCUCUCUUCCCAGACAACCUGCUGUCUGAACGGCUGGGCCACUUAAUGGGACCAGCCAAGCCUGCUCAGAUCCUUCUCUGCUCCACCUGGGUGCACACUGGGGCAAAUCAUUAAAAAGGCCCAACUUCCUCAUCUGACAAAUUGGAAUAGUGUUCCUCCUUUGCGUUCAGUAAAUUUAAAUGACUAAUGUCCCUGUGGGGUUGUGGGGAGCCUGACAGGAAAUAUGGAAGCAGUAUGUGCUCACAACAGGCCAAACCAAGAAACCCGGAUAGACAUUUCUCCUCAGAGAAAUGGCCACAUCUGCAAGUAGCCAAUAAGAUCCUGUUUACCAACAUUCCCAAGCUCAGCUUUGUGUCGGACUCUUAACUCAUGAAAACUCAAAAACCAGCAGUCUAAGUCCCAAACCCAGGUCCCUUGGGGGUCUGUUCUUCUGGAAGUUACAUCCUGUAUCUCUCCAUCAUUUUAUUUCUGAUGUCUACCAGUAGGUCAGCUUGCUAGAAGCUUGUCAAAGAAUGAAUAAAAAAAAAGGGACCUAACUAAGACAA